UGGAAGUAAAAAAGUCGUAACAAGGUCUCCGUAGGUGAACCUGCGGAGGGAUCAUUACACAAAUAUGAAGGCGGGCUGGAACCUCUCGGGGUUACAGCCUUGCUGAAUUAUUCACCCUUGUCUUUUGCGUACUUCUUGUUUCCUUGGUGGGUUCGCCCACCACUAGGACAAACAUAAACCUUUUGUAAUUGCAAUCAGCGUCAGUAACAAAUUAAUAAUUACAACUUUCAACAACGGAUCUCUUGGUUCUGGCAUCGAUGAAGAACGCAGCGAAAUGCGAUAAGUAGUGUGAAUUGCAGAAUUCAGUGAAUCAUCGAAUCUUUGAACGCACAUUGCGCCCUUUGGUAUUCCAAAGGGCAUGCCUGUUCGAGCGUCAUUUGUACCCUCAAGCUUUGCUUGGUGUUGGGCGUCUUGUCUCUAGCUUUGCUGGAGACUCGCCUUAAAGUAAUUGGCAGCCGGCCUACUGGUUUCGGAGCGCAGCACAAGUCGCACUCUCUAUCAGCAAAGGUCUAGCAUCCAUUAAGCCUUUUUUUCAACUUUGACCUCGGAUCAGGAAGGAAC
rnacentral:rRNA from 1 species